rnacentral:lncRNA from 1 species
CUUGCAUCAAAUGUAUUCUACCUCCCUUGCUAACAUGGAAUUCUCCAGAAGGCUGCUGGAGAAGGACGGUCGCUUCGCAGAUGUGCACAUCGAGGGCAGAGCUGGAGGUCUGGU